GUGAGGAAUAUUGGACAAUGGGCGCAAGCCUGAUCCAGUCAUGUCGCGUGCAGGAAGACGCAUCUAUGGUGUGUAAACUGCUUUUGUACGGGAAGAAACACUCCCUCGUGAGGGAGCUUGACGGUACCGUAAGAAUAAGGAUCGGCUAACUCCGUGCCAGCAGCCGCGGUAAUACGGAGGAUCCAAGCGUUAUCCGGAAUCAUUGGGUUUAAAGGGUCCGUAGGCGGUUUAAUAAGUCAGUGGUGAAAGCCCAUCGCUCAACGAUGGAACGGCCAUUGAUACUGUUAGACUUGAAUUACAAGGAAGUAACUAGAAUAUGUAGUGUAGCGGUGAAAUGCUUAGAUAUUACAUGGAAUACCAAUUGCGAAGGCAGGUUACUACUUGUGGAUUGACGCUGAUGGACGAAAGCGUGGGGAGCGAACAGGAUUAGAUACCCUGGUAGUCC
rnacentral:rRNA from 1 species